rnacentral:rRNA from 1 species
CAAUACUUGAUGGCGACCGGCAAACGGGUGAGGAACACGUACACAACCUUCCUUCAAGCGGGGAAUAGCCCAGAGAAAUUUGGAUUAAUACCCCAUAAUAUAUUUGAUAAGGCAUCUUAUUAAAUAUUUAAAGCCUUCGGCACUUGAUGAUGGGUGUGCGGCUGAUUAGAUAGUUGGCGGGUAACGGCCCACCAAGUCUACGAUCAGUAGCUGAUGUGAGAGCAUGAUCAGCCACACGGGCACUGAGACACGGGCCCGACUCCUUACGGGAGGCAGCAGUAAGGAAUAUUGGACAAUGGACGAGAGUCUGAUCCAGCCAUGCCGCGUGAAGGAUUAAGGUCCUCUGGAUUGUAAACUUCUUUUAUAUGGGACGAAAAAGGGCAUUCUUGUUCACUUGACGGUACCAUAUGAAUAAGCACCGGGCUAACUCCGUG